rnacentral:rRNA from 1 species
GAACGUACGCUGGCGGCACGCCCAACACAUGCAAGUCGAACGAAGUAGCAAUACUUAGUGGCAGACGGGUGAGUAACAUGUAGGUAUCUGCCCUUUGGCCUGGAAUAACACGAGGAAACUUGUGCUAAUACCGGAUAAGUCUUUACGGAGAAAGCUUUAUGCACCAUUGGAUGAGCCUGCACUUGAUUAGUUUGUUGGUGGGGUAAUGGCCUACCAAGACUGUGAUCAAUAGCUGAUUUGAGAGGAUGAUCAGCCACAUUGGGACUGAGACACGGCCCAAACUCCUACGGGAGGCAGCAGUGGGGAAUCUUGCACAAUGGAGGAAACUCUGAUGCAGCGAUGCCGCGUGGGUGAAGAAGGCCUUUGGGUUGUAAAGCUCUUUCGUCGGGGAAGAAAAUGACUGUACCCGAAUAAGAAGGUCCGGCUAACUUCGUGCCAGCAGCCGCGGUAAUACGAAGGGACCUAGCGUAGUUCGGAAUUACUGGGCUUAAAGAGUUCGUAGGUGGUUGAAAAAGUUAGUGGUGAAAUCCCAGAGCUUAACUCUGGAACUGCCAUUAAAACUUUUCAGCUAGAGUAUGAUAGAGGAAAGCAGAAUUUCUAGUGUAGAGGUGAAAUUCGUAGAUAUUAGAAAGAAUACCAAUUGCGAAGGCAGCUUUCUGGAUCAUUACUGACACUGAGGAACGAAAGCAUGGGUAGCGAAGAGGAUUAGAUACCCUCGUAGUCCAUGCCGUAAACGAUGUGUGUUAGACGUUGGAAAUUUAUUUUCAGUGUCGCAGGGAAACCGAUAAACACACCGCCUGGGGAGUACGACCGCAAGGUUAAAACUCAAAUGAAUUGACGGGGACCCGCACAAGUAGUGGAGCAUGUGGUUUAAUUCGAAGAUACGCGCAGAACCUUACCAACACUUGACAUGUUCGUCGCGACUCUAAGAGAUUAGAGUUUUCGGUUCGGCCGGACGAAACACAGGUGCUGCAUGGCUGUCGUCAGCUCGUGUCGUGAGAUGUUGGGUUAAGUCCCGCAACGAGCGCAACCCUCACUUUUAGUUGCCAUCAUUAAGUUGGGCACUCUGAAAGAACUGCCAGUGAUAAGCUGGAGGAAGGUGGGGAUGACGUCAAGUCCUCAUGGCCCUUACGUGUUGGGCUACACACGUGCUACAAUGGUAUCUACAACAGGAAGCAAGACUGCGAAGUUAAGCAAAUCCCUAAAAGAUACCUCAGUUCGGAUUGCACUCUGCAACUCGAGUGCAUGAAGCUGGAAUUACUAGUAAUCGUGGAUCAGCGUGCCACGGUGAAUGCGUUCCCGGGUCUUGUACUCACCGCCCG